ACUUUUCCCUUCAUUUCCAUUUCCUUUUGUGAUUUUGAUACAAGUCAAGAUUUGUUGACCAUUCAUUUAUGUCUUUCCUAAUAACCGUUUACUCGCAUAACCUUUAAUCAAUGUUGACCUUUAAAAUUGUGAAUCUCUUUAGUGCUUUUACAGUGGAAUUAUAUUCUGAAAAUGUGUUUAAAUCAAAGAAUCUUCUUAUUCUGAUUUUGGCGAUCAUGAUUGACCAUCACUUUGCCAUGUUUUACAGCUUCUCAUCACCUUAAGGAACAAAUUAAUUCUUCCAAAAUUCUAAACAGAUUAUCACAGUGAAUCUGUUUACAAAUUACUUGACAUGAAUUGAGUAUUACCUGUUAAUCUGUUCAUCUCUUCUGUAUAAUAAAUCUAUUUUAACAUUCUGUUAGUCGAACAUUAUUUUCACAUUUCAUCUUCUUCUCUCUCCCAUGAUUAUGAUUGUUGAUACAUUUGAUGCACAACUAAGCAAACAACUAACCUAGUAAUUGAUGUUUUUACUGGCAACAUUUCAUGCAUCAGAUUACUUUACCUCUGUUAACGCACAAUUAAAGUCAUGUUUAUACAAUCUCUUAAAGGCUUUCCUCAUCACUUUCAGCCUCACAAUCCUAAAGCAUUUGUUUGUCCAGUAAACAGUUUUGUUCAUAAACAGCAACUUUACAUAAAAAAAUGAAAACUAAAUCAAGUGUUUACUUUAAAUCUAAUCAAUUGAUUUACCAUUCAGAGUUGCUCACAGAAUAAAGUCAAUCAUUUUUCCAUGUUUACUAGUGAAAUGAUGAACAAUGAAACAGGGAAGGAAGAUGCUUAAUGAGGAUGCAACUAAUGAUUGUAGCUAUUAUUUUACUUGAACAGCUUAUUAGCAUUGAACAUCCUUUGACAUCAUUUAAGAUCCAUGAUAAUAUUGAUUUGAUAAACUUGUCAGUAUAAUAGUAAACUCUUUCUUCUCCUUUUUUUGUCAUCUUCUUGCAUCUUCCAUCUUCUUGUUUGUUAUUGUUGUCAAUUGCCUUUCAUUUCCACUCUUCAAGUAUCAACAUGAACAUGUGAAUGAUAAUAAUAAUGAUAAAGAGGAUUGAACAAGAAAAGUAAUCAAAGUAAUUUUCUCUUGUAAAGAUGAUAAAGAUUUGGAAGGAAAAGUUAUUUCGAUGAGAAUACUAACAAUCUAUGAAUAUCUCAGGUGACCUUGUUAUUAGUCUUUUAUUGCUACCAGAAUAUUCACCUUUUAUUGUCUUCUUUCUCAUCAUUUCCAUCAUCUUAAAUCUUCUUAUACAACUUAUUCAACUUAUGAUGGCACUUUUACUCUGUAAUCCGAUUAAACUUGCAAUCAACAAGAAAAAAAGUCAACAAUUAUUUGGAAAAAAACUGUUAAUUUCCAUGAUUAUUCAUGUUGCAUUGAAUUUCAUCUUUGCUUCUGUUGAUCGGAAAUUAUCCAUUUUCUCGAUUAUUAAAUGUUGCCCAUGAUAAACUGAUGAACUGUAAUCAUUUAUUUUUCGUAGGAGAAAAAGUGAAACAAGUUUUCAUGAAAUAUUGUUUCUUUACGUUAUCAAACAUUUCUCGUUACCAAUUGAUGAAGGUAAAGAUUACAGUCUUGAUCAAGUUAACUCUUGUAAUAACAGUUUCAAGUUGGUGAUUAUCAUCAUUUGUUUCCAAAUCCUAAUAAUUUGUCAAUCUGAUUAACGGAACAAAAUUGCAACCAUAUUUUACUUUGUCUGAUAAUUUUAGUUUAUUAGGUUCAUUUCAACAUUGCCAAUCAUUUUUAAUCAGCAAUAAAUCAAAAAAUUGAUUCUAAUGAUGCACUUUACUCAAAGCCUUAACUGCAACUUUCAUCUCUCUUUUACCUUCAUCAAAAGUAUUUACAAAUGAUUAAAGUAGCAUUUGGUGAAA